rnacentral:rRNA from 1 species
CUACGGGAGGCAGCAGUAAGGAAUAUUGGACAAUGGGCGCAAGCCUGAUCCAGCCAUGCCGCGUGCAGGAUGAAGGACCUAUGGUUCGUAAACUGCUUUUAUACGGGACAAAACCCCCGGUCGUGCAUCGGGGUUGAUGGUACUGUAAGAAUAAGGGUCGGCUAACUCCGUGCCAGCAGCCGCGGUAAUACGGAGGAUCCAAGCGUUAUCCGGAUUCAUUGGGUUUAAAGGGUGCGUAGGCGGGAUUGUAAGUCAGUGGUGAAAGCCUGCAGCUUAACUGCAGAACUGCCAUUGAAACUGCUUUUCUUGAGUGCAUUUGAAGUGAGCGGAAUGAGUCAUGUAGCGGUGAAAUGCUUAGAUAUGACACAGAACACCGAUUGCGAAGGCAGCUCACUAAACUGUAACUGACGCUGAGGCACGAAAGCGUGGGGAUCAAACAGGAUUAGAAACCCUUGUAGUCC